rnacentral:rRNA from 1 species
UACGUAGGACCCAAGCGUUAUCCGGAAUUACUGGGCGUAAAGAGUUGCGUAGGUGGCAUAGUAAGCAAAUAGUGAAAGCGUGCGGCUCAACCGCAUAUCCAUUAUUUGAACUGCUAGGCUAGAGGGCGAGAGAGGUUACUAGAAUUCCUAGUGUAGGAGUGAAAUCCGUAGAUAUUAGGAGGAAUACCGAUGGCGUAGGCAGGUAACUGGCUCGUCCCUGACACUAAGGCACGAAAGCGUGGGGAGCGAACGGG